rnacentral:lncRNA from 1 species
GUGCUUCUGGGAAAACCAGGCCAUUCCACAGAGGAGCUUAUCAGGGAUUUCGCAGCCCAGUUGGCCACAGGCGGGCAGGGCUGCGGGGAUGUGCCAAGCGCUGGGAUGGAGCCGUGGUGGGGCCCUUGCUCAGCUCAGCCCACCCACCCCCUUCCUGCUGCUGCCGGACCAGGGCCGGCUGCCUUCCUCUGAGGCCAUCUGAAGGGGAGCUGGCA